CCUACGGGAGGCAGCAGUGAGGAAUAUUGGUCAAUGGUCGCGAGACUGAACCAGCCAAGUAGCGUGAGGGAUGACUGCCCUACGGGUUGUAAACUUCUUUUAUCAGGGAAUAAAGUGAGGCACGUAUGCCUUUUUGUAUGUACUUUAUGAAUAAGGAUCGGCUAACUCCGUGCCAGCAGCCGCGGUAAUACGGAGGAUCCGAGCGUUAUCCGGAUUUAUUGGGUUUAAAGGGCGCGUAGAUGGGUUGUUAAGUCAGGUGUGAAAGUUUGCGGCUCAACCGUAACAGUGCAAUUGAUACUGGCAGUCGUGAGUACAGGUGAGGUAGGCGGAAUGCGUGGUGUAGCGGUGAAAUGCUUAGAUAUCACGAAGAACUCCGAUUGCGAAGGCAGCUUAC
rnacentral:rRNA from 1 species